rnacentral:misc_RNA from 1 species
GUGACAAUGUCAAAUCGUAUUUUGGUUUUGUUUUCAAACGUAAAUGAAUAUUAUUUACUGAGAUAUAGAAGAUAAUAAACUGAUAUAAGACCUUCUGUUGAAACCAGAGAUAUCCUUCUUAACAUAUAUUUAAUACAAGCGCUAUAACCUACAAAUACAAAUUAAAACAUGGAUUUAGGACCUGAUGAAAUGGAAACUAAGUUCUUAUGCCUUGGAUGCGUUGGAACGGGGCGAAUGUACAAUGUACGACAGUACAACCUUCUAGAACCAUAUUUGCUACUCACUGGACUAAAGCUUUCAGAAGAUGUACAAACAAAAUACUUUUGCCAAUUCUGCAGUACAUUGUUAAAGAAAUACAUUGUGUUUAGAGAAAGAUGUCUUCGUUCAUUUGAAUAUCUCACAAGCAUUACCAAGGACAAGAUUUCAAUAAAAUUUUUGAAGCAUGAUAAUAUUUCUCAGUACACCGUUAAUAAAGUCCUAGACUUGCAUAGCUACUUGACUGAAGAUGAAUCAAUUGAUAAUAAAUAUGAUAUAAAGAAUGAUGAUAACAACUCUGAUGAUCAUGAGCUACAUUAUCAUAGUGAUGGAACAGAAAACUAUGAUAUAAUUACAAAGAAUAAUGAAGACACCUAUUGUGAUAUUAAAUGUGAACUAAAUGAAAACAUAUUUACAAAUAAAUCACAUGAUAAUAAAAAAAUAGAAGAAAACGAAAACAACGGUACCAAAAAGAAUAUACUUAUCAGCAAUUUAGUUUCCGAACAUAAAAAAAUCGAAGAAAAGAAAAACAAUUCAAAAAGAAUAAAUAAAACAGUCACUAAGACAAAACUUGCUAAAAAGCAGCCAUUCAGGCUAUCCACUGAAGAGGGUAGGCGGAUAUUCGAAAAAAAAUAUGGCGUGAGUAUCAAAAUAAUGUCAGAAGAAGAAAAAAUUACAGAUCUGAAAGAGAAAUAUGUUAAAAUCAUUGGAGGCGUAAAAUGCAAGUUGUGUUAUAAAUAUUUUAAAAAUGAAAAAAUGCUGAAAAACCACGCAAUGGAUAUGCAUGAUGAGAGUAAGCCGAUGAGAUGCAAGUAUUGUGGCUACAGGACAGACACCAGGAGCUCCCUUCAGUAUCACACCAUCAGGAACCACAAGUACAAAAUAACCUGCCACAUGUGCGGACUGCAUAUACGGGCAUCCAAUGCCAUAGCCGAGCACCACAGAACACACAGCGGGCAAACAUUCACCUGUCGCUUCUGUGGAAUCGUGUGCAAAAAAUCUAAGCAAUAUCGUUUGCACUUGCGGAAGUCGCACCCUUCUCAACUGAUAUGGUGUAAUAUUUGCGGAGAAGUGUAUAUCAGCUUGGAAAAUCAUCUCAGAGCGUCACAUAAAGAUGUAUUAAAAACAAAUUUCAAAUGUACGAAAUGCAAUGCGUACUUUGUAAAUGAAGAGAUUUUAUGUAAACACGAACGCGCACAGACAGACGCACCGUGCGACAAAUGUUGUUAUCACUGCGCUGAAGGUUUUAUAAAUGUUGAUUUACUGAGACAACAUUUCGAGAAAGAACAUAUAUUUAUCAAGAAAACUAUAGAUAGACCGAAAAAGGCGCCGCGGUUAUACAAGAAGUGCAACACGAACGAAUCAGGCGGCGUGUGUGACGUUUGCGGGAAACGAUUGGGAACAAUUGUAAUGUGUGCAGAACAAUGGAUUGGAGUACCACAUGUUGAUACACGCGGGCGCGUUGCCGUACGAGUGCCACAGCUGCGGGAAGAAGUUCAGGUGCAAAAUGUCUUUACAGAACCAUUGUCGCGUACAUUCUGGUGAUCGGCCGUUUUCUUGCGAGCUUUGUCAGAAGGCGUUCAAGAGUACGUCGGGGCUUUACAGGCAUAGACGGGUACACACAGGAGAGAAGAGGCAUCAGUGUGAGAUCUGCUGCAAAUUCUAUAGCACCUCGACCGGCUUGAAGGCGCAUAUCAAAUCUGUUCAUAUGAAGAUGCCUAAAACAACGUAGAAUGACUUCUUAUGUUUACGCAAA